rnacentral:rRNA from 1 species
UACGAGGGGGGCGAGCGUUGUUCGGAAUUAUUGGGCGUAAAGGGUGCGUAGGCGGUUUGGUAAGUCUUAUGUGAAAUCUACAGGCUCAACUUGUAGUCUGCAUGAGAAACUGCCGGGCUUGAGUAUGGGAGAGGUGAUGGAAUUCCUGGUGUAGCGGUGAAAUGCGUAGAUAUCAGGAGGAACACCUAUUGCGAAGGCAGCUCGCUGGGACGUAACUGACGCUGAGACGCGAAAGCGUGGGGAGCAAACAGG